rnacentral:rRNA from 1 species
AUGAACGCUAGUGGCAGGCUUAAUACAUGCAAGUUGAGGGGCAGCAUGAUAUACGCGAGUAUAUUGAUGGCGACCGGCGGACGGGUGAGUAAUAGGUAGGAGACCUACCUCAUACAGGGGGAUAGCAUAGAGAAAUCUGUGGUAAUACCCCAUGAGGUUAUAUGAAUAGAGGCAUAUAAUCAAAGCAUAAGCGAUUAUGCGGUAUGAGAGGGGCCUACUGACCAUUAGCUAGUUGGUGAGGUAAGGGCUCACCAAGGCGAAGAUGGUUAGGGGUUUUGAGAGAGAGACCCCCCACAUUGGAACUGAGAGACGGUCCAGACUCCUACGGGAGGCAGCAGUAGGGAAUAUUGGGCAAUGGGCGAAAGCCUGACCCAGCCAUGCCGCGUGAAGGAAGACGGCCUUAUGGGUUGUAAACUUCUUUACUACGCGAAUAGAGGUUAGUACGAGAUACUAAUAGGAAGGUAGUGUAGUAAAAAGCACCGGCUAACUCCGUG